AAGGUUAAGAGGAGUGGUUAGCUUCGGCGAAGCGACGAAUCGAAGCACCAGUAAACGGCGGCCGUAACUAUAACGGUCCUAAGGUAGCGAAAUUCCUUGUCGGGUAAGUGCCGACCCGCACGAAAGGCGUAACGAUUUGGGCACUGUCUCAACGAGAGACUCGGUGAAAUCAUAGUACCUGUGAAGAUGCAGGUUACCCGCGACAGGACGGAAAGACCCCGUGGAGC
rnacentral:rRNA from 1 species